rnacentral:rRNA from 1 species
GACGAACGCUGGCGGCGUGCUUAACACAUGCAAGUCGAACGAAGUGGCGAACGGGUGAGUAACGCGUAAUAAACCUGCCCUUCAGAGGGGGACACCAGUUGGAAACGACUGCUAAUACGGCAUACGGAAGGAGGGGAUUGCGUCGGAUUAGCUAGUUGGGGGGGUAACGGCCCACCAAGGAGAUGAGCAGUAGCCGGGCUGGGAGGGUGAACCGCCAAAUUGGGACUGAGACAAGGCCCAGACUCCCACGGGAGGCAGCAGUGGGGAAUCUUCCGCAAUGGACGAAAGUCUGACGGAGCAACGCCGCGUGAGUGAUGACGGCCUUCGGGUUGUAAAGCUCUGUUAAUCGGGACGCGGUACCGGAAUAGAAAGCCACGGCUAACUACGUGCCAGCAGCCGCGGUAAUAC